AUAAAUGAAUUUUUUUUUUCUUUUUCAUUAACGAAAAACAAGAACACCGGCACAACCGGAGUUUCAUCAUUCAUCAAUGUAAUGCAAAUAUCAUCAAUAACACAUCUUUUGCAAAGGAACACUGAUAGCACGUGAUUUAUAAUUUCACUUUACAAAAAUCUCAACAGUCAACUCCAAUGAGAUACAAAUUUACUGUUGCUAAAAUAAUAUCAGAUUGAAGUAACUUUUUACAAAAAUUUUUCGAGCGGCAGAAGCUGAUCUGUCUGCCAUCCACCCUCUUCUGUCAGUGUGAUCUUCUUUUGAGAUUGAGAAAACCAGAUCAUUCAAACAUACAUUGGUGAGACCGAAAUGAACCCCUUGAUAGCAAUUCAACAAUUCGUUUCUCAAGCCUCGCUGCUCCUGGACCAGGCCUCAAAACAUCAGCAUCACCCCAAACUGAACAAGUUUCAUUCCCAGCUUCUCCCAAGCACCAGCCACCAGGUACAACUUGUCCUGGACUUCGUCCCAAAAUUUCUUGAUCAAUGCGAUCAAGCACCGGAUCAUUGAAUUGAAACUGACUGGCAAAGGCAGCUCCACUCUGAAUCAUGGCAUCAAACUCACUAGAAUUCAGUAUGCGAGGCACCAGUUUGGAGGGCUUCUCAAAGGCUACAUAUUGUAAGUUAUCGUUUAUGACAGUCCUGUUGAACUGAUGAGAAUUACAUAGGACGGUAGGGAAGUAGUUGAUUAGGGAUGAAGGCGUAUUUGAAAAAUACAUCAGUAGGAUCCUAGGAAGGUUGUCUGUACCCAAGAUGCAGUGCUCUAUAAAAUUACGACUUAAAAUGGAAAAAGAAGAACCUGCAUUUGAAAAAAAAAAUCUCAUGUUAGCAUUACCAAUAGCAAAAAUAUUGCUGUUACAUUUAUAUAAUAUAUUUAACGAACCUGCAUAUGGAGAGGGAAAAAUCAAAAAAUUGUAUUUGAUGUUGCAUGUAGAAGGCUUAUCAAAAAAUAAAAAAGGGUUGCAUAUAAUAGUUAUGGAUGCUAGUGAAUUCGUAUACUCCAUCUCAGAAAGCAAUGGGUCCCACAUGUUGGAGUCCACUAUCCAUGUGAAGGUAGCCUAAGGUAUGGAGAAUGACAUUCCAUUACAUGAUCAGAUUAAACUAAUUUGAUAUCAUCACAUUACACUGCAGUAAAUGCAAGAUUCAUGAUAUGUUAAUCCCUUAAACAAAGUGUGCCGAAGUGCUCCUUACCCUGUUCCUGUCUUAAUAAGUCACUCAUACUAGUCUCAGAACAAAAGGGAUGAUUAUAUUGAAGAAAAUGUGGUUGUUUCCCAGGCUGUUUAAACAACUAAAUUCUCAAAACAGGUUGGAUAUAUCUACUAGAAAUGCAAUUGAAACAAACAAUGCUUCUAUUGCAUGGUAAAUAAUCUGUCCUAAAAUUAGGGAUAUACCAAUGACCAAAAUGGAUAAUCGUUUGGACACUUUUUCCCAAAUCAACAAUGGUGACUUUCAAGUAAGAUUCCUUGCUGAAACAUAGCAAAUUAGAAGUGAUUUGUUACAUAGGACUAUGCGCAAAUGUCAGCAAGUUCUAUGAUCACACGGUGGGAAUCACAUACAACAGGAUGCUAGCCUUAAAUCCAUUGCUUUUGACAAAGAUAUUGAGUGUUAGUGGACUGGUUACAUCCAAGAGGAGGAAGUAUUUGGCAACUGUCGAGUACGUCAAGGAAAGAAAGGGGCUCUAAGAGUUUGAUUUCCAUAAUAACUUAGCUGACAGACCUUUUAUCAGAUGUCUUGAUUUAUUGGUACCAAUAACAUGCAGCUUGAAAGAACUCUGGUAUGAUUGCAGCUUCACCAUGCAAGCAUCCUGGCCCAACAGAUCAAGGGUCACAAGCGGUAACCACAUCAUCCGACAGUCUUAAAUUUGGCAAAAAUCCUAAUCUUUAAAACAUAAUUUGUCCUUAUGGUAGAUAUCAAAGAAAAACCAUCCCCACUAUGGUACUCUCUUCAGCAGAAUGAUGAUAAAUUAAUAAAAGUCACGGUUUACAUAUUUCAUUUCCCAAUUCAGGUUUUUGGUCCAACGUCGUUGGUUUCAUCCCUUCUCCCUUUUUCGUUUGCCUGUCUCAGUCUCUUCUUAUCAAUUUCCCUUCCAUUCACAAUAAAGUACCAAAUUACAAAAGCCUUUAGGCCUCACAGGAAGUUAGACAGCAUUUUCCAAUACAACCUGAUUCUACUGCCACAGUGCCACUCACUAAUUAAAAUUGAUUCGUUUCAAACACAAGAAAAAACCAGACAUGUAACUGCUCAAUUUUCUCUGAAAUAAUCCUUUGAGCCCACACUCAUAUGCAAACUGAUAAAACCACAUUCUCGAUCACUUUCAGGUCCAUUUCACACAUCAAGCAAUAGGUAUGCUGAUCAGGAAAUGUAGAUUAAAACGUCUAAAUCUCACUAACCCAAAUUUUCAUUUUAGUUUGUAAUUCUUCAUUAUCACCACGACCUGUUCCUCACUAGUUUAAAAUGUUCUCUGUUCACUUGCAUCUAAGCUACUUCCAUAUUAAAUUUCAAGUUCCUUCUUCAGCCAUAAAUACCAAAAUUAAGAACCAUAUCAUUGAAAAAUACAUUGAAAGAAUCACAGGAACUAAUAAAGAAAACACACCUGUAAAUAUCCUGAAAGCAUUAGGUAAGUCUCGCUUUUGAGUAGCAUAAAACAUCUCAGUUCUCUCAGAAAGAUAAAGCCCCGGAUCAACAAUUAUAGGCUUCAAUUGUUUAGACCUGUAACACCAAGGCAUUUACUAGUACAUAAUUCAGGGAUCGUCGGAUUAAGCCAAGCAUAUUAUCCAAAAAAAACAAAAAAUUAUAUGCAGUGGUCAUACUCCCUCCAACCAAUGUAACUUGUGUGAUUCACAAAGUUGAAAUCCCUUGGCAAAUAGGACAAAAUGUGAAGCAGAUCAUCUUGUGUAACAAGUGGGUAAUCACGAGCACUAAGACUAAUGAACCAGUCCCAAUUCUUUGACAACCUCAUCAAUAUAGCAGCACCAUGUAGAGUCUCUGAAAUCGUAGACGAUCCUUUCGGGUACGCGAAAUCAGCUUUCCCUAUCACAUUCACAUUCAGUGCAGCUCUAAAGAUAGGCACCGAUUGGACUGUGACGGCUAAUCGGUCGCGCUCAGCCUGCGCAGCAAAGCGAUCUAUGUGGAGGAUAUACUGGUUUUUGGGGUGGUAAGUGGCGUAGAGAAGUCUAAGUAUCCGACCCGAGUCACCCUUCGAUCCGGAAAUCAAGUAGGCGAUGGAAGGUGGGGCUGGAUCCGAGGGAAUCUUGUUGAAAGUAGGUUGUCGGUUGGGGAAGAGGUAAGGGUCGGGGCGGUCGUGGGUUGUGGUGUGUAAGGAGGUAGAGGAAGGAGAAAGAGACAAUAUGAAGAGGAGUGAGAAAAGGGCGGUGGCUAGAAUGAUGGAGAGUGUGGUUUUCGUGCCGUCUUUUGUGGUGGUUGUGGAGGAGGUGAUGGUGGCUGUCGUUGGGAGUGGUGAUAACGGUGGUUGUGGUAUUUGCAUUUUCUUUUUAACCCAGUAUCUUGGGUUUGUGCUGUGUCUGUUUUAGAGCCAAAAACAGAAGUUAAAGCCGUGGGUAUAUAUAUAUAUACUAUUGAUAUAGAAGUGUAAAAUAAGUAAGUGAAAAACCCAUCUCCUUCUUUUCUCAUCUAUCUUUUUUAAAACUCUAUUAUUCUUUUCUUCCCAUGGCCAACUUUGGAUUACCACACCUUUUAUUAUUAUUAUUAUUCUACUUAUCUCCCCUUUAAAAUAAAAUUUCUUUCUUUAAUUUUUUUGAUCUUUCCUCAUUUGAUUGUCAUUGACAAUAAUUAAUUUGUGAAUAUCAAAAUCUGCAAUAGGUGGCAUUCGAAGCACAAAACAUCACCUGAAUUAAGGUUUUUAAGUUGAAUCGCCACUCGUGACUAGACCUCCAUUCCAAGACAUUUUCAAGGAAGAAAGUCCGAGGAAUCAAGAUCAAAAGACAAGA
rnacentral:misc_RNA from 1 species